rnacentral:lncRNA from 1 species
CUUGCCCCUGCCCCUGAGUGCUGGGAUUAAGGGCGUGCAUCCCCCCCCCCCCCCAACUCAGCACUGCUUCUCUUGAGACAGGGUUAUCUGUGACCUUGGCAAGCCUGGAGCUCCAGCUCGCCCAUUCUCCCGUCCCUGCCUCCCGAGCUCUGGGACCUUUACAUGGUCUAACACAGAGAGGAGUUUAAAGUCGGGUUACUGUGUAAUGAAUUUACUUCUGGUUGUCCUGUCUUUGUUCUAAGACUCACACCCAAGGCCUUGUGGGUACAGAAAAGUUCCAUCCCAGACUGCAUCCCAGCCCUUUAACUAAUGCUUUUCUGUCGACAGUUUUUGUGUGGCUCAGAAUUCAAAAAGCUAUGAAUUAUGGAAGUCUGUCUCCCUGGCCUGCCUCUCCUCUCCCGGAGGCACCGCCGACACUCACACACAUGUGCUCACGAUGCCUGCGUGGUCUUCUGGCGACACCCUCAGAUAGAAGAGCUUCUGCCCUAGGAGGAAGGGGGUGUCAGCGCCACACAGGCACCACUAGGGGCUCUAACCACUGCUCUUGCUCCUCCCCAGGGCGGGCUAGGAGUAUUCGUCCAGCUGAUGCCCAUCCUCAUCCUCAUCCUCGUGUCGGCGCUCAGCCAGCUCAUGGUGUCCAGUCCACCCUACAGCCUGAGCCCCAGACCGUGAGUGCAUGCCCUGGGCCAGGCCCCUUAGACUGUUGAGGAUCAUGGGCCCCUCAGGAAAUACAGACCAAGCUCUAGGCCUUUCCUU